UACGUAGGGGGCGAGCGUUGUCCGGAAUGAUUGGGCAUAAAGGGCGCGUAGGCGGCUGUGUAAGUCAGUAGUGGAAGUCCAGCUUUUAAGGUUGGAAGUGCUAUUGAAACUGUGCAGCUUGAGUGCAGGAGAGGUUAUCGGAAUUCCCGGUGUAGCGGUGAAAUGCGUAGAGAUCGGGAGGAACACCAGUGGCGAAGGCGGGUAACUGGACUGCAACUGACGCUGAGGCGCGAAAGUGUGGGGAGCAAACAGGAUUAGAUACCCU
rnacentral:rRNA from 1 species